UGAAAUGGACAUUUCUGCCAAAGUCAAUGAGUAAAACUGACAGUGCGGAUGACUAACCUCCAGCCCAGAGCCUUUGGCAGCUCACACCUUUGUGCAAAGCACAUUCCACAGACUGGCCUGAGGAUUCACAGACUGGCCUGAGGCUCUGAACUCCACCUUGAUUCACCAAUUUGUCUAAAAUACGCUACAAAAGAACUUCUGUGUUCCAGAAGGCUUCAAGGUGCUGUUCAUAUUUUUGGAAAGAUCUGUGACAAUAUCAGGUUUGAUUGUGACCAUCCUAUAUUGUAUCUCUGAAACCUUUAGGAGUUGGGGCUUGACUAGUGCCUGGCUAGGUUACUCGGGAUGGGCCUGUGAGGAUGACAGCAUCCCCGUUUCCUUCUGUGUUCUCUGGUUCUUAUCGGCUGAGAUGUGAACAACCUCUGCUCCCCCUCUCCACCAUAAACUGUGCUACCACAGUCCUUUCCCUUCAGCGAUGGGCUCUGAAACUGUGAGGAGAGAUAAGCCUUUUCUUGGGUACCUUGUUUUGGUCUGGUGUUUGGUCACAGUCCGCACAAAUUACUGAUAGACCAGCUGAGUCAAAGCCAAAGUACAUCUUAAGUAAUCUAAUCUCAGUGUGGCAUUUACUUCACAAUCUACAUUUGUUGUUAAGUU
rnacentral:lncRNA from 1 species